rnacentral:rRNA from 1 species
ACUUCCCUACGGGGGGCAGCAGUGAGGAAUAUUGGUCAAUGGGCGAGAGCCUGAACCAGCCAAGUCGCGUGAGGGAAGACGGCCCUACGGGUUGUAAACCUCUUUUGUCAGGGAGCAAGAACGGAUACGUGUAUCCGAGCGAGAGUACCUGAAGAAAAAGCAUCGGCUAACUCCGUGCCAGCAGCCGCGGUAAUACGGAGGAUGCGAGCGUUAUCCGGAUUUAUUGGGUUUAAAGGGUGCGUAGGCGGGCUGCCAAGUCAGCGGUAAACUUUCGGGGCUGAACCCCG